UACGUAGGGUGCAAGCGUUUGUUCGGAAUUAUUGGGGCGUAAAGCGCGCGUAGGUGGGUCUGUAAGUCGUCUGUGAAAUCCCCUGGGCUCAACCCGGGAAUUGCAGACGAUACUGCGGAUCUGAGUGCUUGAGAGGAUGGCGAAUUCCAGGUGUAGAGGUGAAAUUCGUAGAUAUCUGGAAGAACACCGGAGGCGAAGGCGGCUGUCUGGCAAGACACUGACACUGAGGCGCGAAAGCGUGGGGAUCAACAGG
rnacentral:rRNA from 1 species